rnacentral:rRNA from 1 species
CCUACGGGAGGCAGCAGUGGGGAAUAUUGGGCAAUGGGCGCAAGCCUGACCCAGCAACGCCGCGUGAAGGAAGAAGGCUUUCGGGUUGUAAACUUCUUUUGUCAGGGAAGAGUAGAAGACGGUACCUGACGAAUAAGCCACGGCUAACUACGUGCCAGCAGCCGCGGUAAUACGUAGGUGGCAAGCGUUGUCCGGAUUUACUGGGUGUAAAGGGCGUGUAGCCGGGUUGACAAGUCAGAUGUGAAAUCCUGCGGCUUAACCGCAGAACUGCAUUUGAAACUGUUGAUCUUGAGUACUGGAGAGGCAGGCGGAAGUCCGAGUGUAGCGGUGAAAUGCGUAGAUAUUAGGAGGAACACCAGUUGCGAAGGCGGUCUGCUGGACAGCAACUGACGGGGAGGCGCGAAAGCGUGGGGAGCAAACAGGAUUAGAUACCCCAGUAGUC